CAACCUUUGACAUGUCCCGUAUGAGCAUCAGAGAUGAAGCUCUUCAGUUCGGCUGGCGGGAACACAGGUGCUGCAUGGCUGUCGUCAGCUCGUGUCGUGAGAUGUUGGGUUAAGUCCCGCAACGAGCGCAACCCUCGCCCUCAGUUGCCAUCAUUUAGUUGGGCACUCUAAGGGGACUGCCGGUGAUAAGCCGCGAGGAAGGUGGGGAUGACGUCGAGUCCUCAUGGCCCUUACAGGUUGGGCUACACACGUGCUACAAUGGCGGUGACAGUGGGAUGCAAUGGGGCAACCCUGCGCAAAUCUCAAAAAGCCGUCUCAGUUCGGAUUGCACUCUGCAACUCGAGUGCAUGAAGUUGGAAUCGCUAGUAAUCGCAGAUCAGCACGCUGCGGUGAAUACGUUCCC
rnacentral:rRNA from 1 species